ACCAUCCGCGCGGCGCCACGCAGGGCCUAAUGUCUGGCUUCGCUUCCACUCUUCGGGCCCACACCCGCUUUUUCCGCGGACUCCCCCGGGGGCCACCUCAUCGUGCCUGGAAAUCCAUCAAAGAAGUAGAAGAGACGAAUAAGUGAUUAACAGAUGACCACAUCUCUUCCCUAUCUUUCCCUUCAGUAAUCUCCCAAAUAAACUCUGUGAUCAAACUGUGUGAACACGAUCACAUGUAGAGGAAGAUCACAAGAAGUUGAGGAGCCUGCACACAGUGGGGAAUGGCGACGCCUCAGACCCCCAUCUCAAUGAUUAACUGAGAUUACAUCCCUCCUUCCCUUUAAAAGUUUCAUAAGCAGAAUCUUCGGAGGUGGUUUUUGGGGGUACAUUGAGUCCACCAUCUCCCCAGAUUGCCGGCAUUCUGAUUAAAGGCACUUUUCCUUUUUA